UGUCGUGUCAGCAACUUUUCAAUUCAAUUGAUGUUCAGUGCUACGUCAAAGCCGGAAACCUUUCCCGGUAAGUGGAAUAAUAUUUCUCCAUGCAUAUGAACAGAAUAAAAGUAUUUGGCUAGUCGAAAAGUUAUCUCGUUAACCGGGAUAAAUUUUGCCCAUAUGAACUGGCCCUAAGGCAGUGGCGUAGCCAGCCCAACAAUUUAGUCAUGCUAUGCAAAUAUUUUCGAGUUCACUGACCGUGAGAACAAUCAAUUUCUAAAGAAAUUAAUAAUUUAAAAUUUACAUACCAUGACCAAAUUGUCGGGCUGGCUACGCCAAUGCUUUAAGGAUUACUAUAGAUGGCGUUGAUUUUUGGCUAAAAUUAGAUGGCCGCAAGAAAGUUCAAUUUCAUUAACAACUUCCAUGUGUGGAAUAUGUUUUUGAGACACCUAGAGAAUUGACUUACGCAAUAUCUUGAUGACAACGAGACACUUCAUAAUAGGAUAAAAAGAAACCUUCCUGCUUGAGUCAUAACUUUUUGUAGUAAAAAUAAAUCAUCGUUGUUAACUUAAAAUAUUUUAAAGAUUUUGCUCAGGUAGAGAAACAAAACUUUAUUAAUAAAUAAUAGGCAGAGUGCGACCAUUUUUUAUGAGCAUUUUCAUCAAGGCUUUGUUUACGUGUACGCUCAUCACAAGAACAUCUGGGAAAAGUAACCAAAUGUAAAGCGGCCGAUAGUGAAUGUCUUUAAAAUAAACAUAUUGUUCAAACGUAUAAUAUACAUCAACAGGUCUCCGCGUUAACUUUUAUUAUAUAAUAGAGUCCCGAACAUAUUUAUUCCUGACAGGCAGAAUAUACGGGGGGAAAUUAGUCAUGUUUUCAUGUUUUUUUGUGAAUGAUUUGGGUGAACAUUUACAUCAUGAGACUAAAAAAACCCAAGAAACAGCGUUAUUUUCUACCACUCUUUGGUUACAGAAGUUAUAUAAUUUUCAAUAUUAUGAAUCUUAAAAAAAUUGAUAUUUGUGGCCCCACCUAAGAGAAGCAUGCCCCGUGAGGCGAUGUAAAAGGAAGAUACGUUUCGAAAACCAG